rnacentral:tRNA from 1 species
GCGGAUGUGGUUCAAUGGUAGAACAUCAGCUUCCCAAGCUGAAAACGAGGGUUCGAUUCCCUUCAUCCGCUUCA